rnacentral:rRNA from 1 species
AACGAACGCUGGCGGCAUGCCUAACACAUGCAAGUCGAACGAGACCUUCGGGUCUAGUGGCGGUGGGGUGCGUAACGAGGGGGAAGUUGCACUUAGGUUCGGAAUAAUUCACCGUAAGGGGUGCUAAUAACGGUUAAUGUCUUAGGACAAAAGAUUUAUCGCGUUGGGAUGGGCCCGCGUUGGUUUAGCUGGUUGGUAGGGUAAAAGCAUCUCAAGGCGACGUUCCAGAGCUGGUCUGAGAGGAUGAUCAACCCGACUGGGACUACGACACGGCCCAGACUCCGACGCAAGGGAGCAGUGUGGAGUAUUAUACAAUGGACGAAGACCUGGUCCAGCAAUGCCGCGGAAGUGGUGAAGGCCUUAGUGUUGUAAAGCUCUUUUACCCGAGAUGAUAGUGACGGUACCGGGAGAAUAAGCACCGGCUAACUCCGUG